AAAAAUGGUGAAAAAUGAACUUAAAAAUGGUGAAAAAAUAGGAAAAAAAAGACCCAAAAAAUGGUGAAAAAUUAUGCAAAAAAUGGCCAAAAAAAAGCCCAAAAAUUGUCAAAUAAGGACCCUAAAAUCGGCCCGAUAAAAGACCCCAAAAUUGGUGCAAAAACCCCCAAAAUUGGCCCAAAAUUGCCCAAAAACCGCGGAAAAUUUCAAGGAAGAAAAGCGGCCAUUUUUUUUUUUUUUUGUUCAGGGGGCGUGGCCACGCUGUGCGCGGCCGCUGAUUGGUUGAACCCGGGAAGGGGCGUGGCCAGGCGGCGCCGGCGGGAAGCGGCGGGCCGGGAUGGCGCCGCUGAUUGGGCCGCGGAGGGGAAGGGGCGGGGUUUAAGGGCGGAAGAGCGUCGGGAUUGGCUGGAGGUUUGGGGUUUGGGAAGGGGGCGUGGCUUCGAGCCGCGUUUGGCGGGAGCGGCGCGCGCGGGAGCGGCCCGGGACCCCUCCCCCCUCCCCCAACACCGGGAGCCACGUGACCCGCGGGAGACCACGCCCACCCAAACACCGACCCGACCACGUGACCCGCGGGAGAGCCGCCCCUCCCCCCACCGGGAACCGGGUGCCCCUCCCCUUCCCUUUUAGCCCCUCCCCCUCCCUUUUAGCCCCUCCCCCACCCCAUUGAUGCCCCUCCCCCCCACGCCCCCUCCCCCGCGCCGCCCCUCCCGGCCAAUCAGACGCGUCCCUGGCCCGGCUGGGGCAAGGGCGGGGCCGGCGAGGGGAGGGCGUGGUCGUGCACCUGACCACGCCCACCUCUGGCCCCGCCCCUUCCCUGGAGGAUUUCGAGAUCGUCCGGAGCCUCGGGAGGGGCAGCCGGGGGGAGGUGCUGGAGGUGCGCCGCCUCUCGGACGGUUCCCGCUUCGCCCUCAAGCGCUCGCUCCGCCCCCUCUCGGGCCCCGCCCAGCGCCGCCAUUGGCUGCGGGAGUGCCACGCCCAGCUGGGGGCGGGGCCGGCGCCGGGGCUCCUCCCCCUGCUGGCGGCCUGGGAGCAGCGACGUCACUUCCUGUUGCUGCUCCCGCUGUGCCCGGCCGGAAGUUUGGGCAGCCAAUGGCGGCGAGGGGGUGGGGCCAAGCUACAAAGGGGCGUGGCUCGGCUCUGGAGGGGCGUGGUCUCGCCCCUGAGGGGCGUGGCUUGGGUU